GACGAACGCUGGCGGCGUGCUUAACACAUGCAAGUCGAGCGACGCUCUUCCUUCGGGGAGAUGACGGAGCGGCGAACGGGUGAGUAACACGUGGGCAACCUGCCCCUAGCUCUGGGACAACACCGGGAAACCGGUGCUAAUACCGGAUACGACAUCGAGCGGCAUCUCUCGAUGUGGAAAGUUUUUUCGGCUAGGGAUGGGCCCGCGGCCUAUCAGCUUGUUGGUGGGGUAAUGGCCCACCAAGGCGACGACGGGUAGCCGGCCUGAGAGGGCGACCGGCCACACGGGGACUGAGACACGGCCCAGACUCCUACGGGAGGCAGCAGUGGGGAAUAUUGCGCAAUGGGCGAAAGCCUGACGCAGCGACGCCGCGUGAGGGAUGACGGCCUUCGGGUUGUAAACCUCUUUCAGCAGGGACGAAUUCAGACGGUACCUGCAGAAGAAGCACCGGCCAACUACGUG
rnacentral:rRNA from 1 species